UACGAAGGGGGCUAGCGUUGUUCGGAAUUACUGGGCGUAAAGCGCACGUAGGCGGACUACUAAGUCAGGGGUGAAAUCCCGGGGCUCAACCCCGGAACUGCCUUUGAUACUGAUAGUCUCGAGUCCGGAAGAGGUGAGUGGAAUUCCGAGUGUAGAGGUGAAAUUCGUAGAUAUUCGGAGGAACACCAGUGGCGAAGGCGGCUCACUGGUCCGGUACUGACGCUGAGGAGCGAAAGCAUGGGGAGCGAACAGG
rnacentral:rRNA from 1 species